UUUUUUUUUUUUCUUUUUUGGCUCCCCCAUGGCAUAUGGUGUUCCCAGGCCAGGGAUCAGGUCCAAGCUAUAGUUGUGACCUACACUGUAGCUACAGCAACACUGGAUCCUUAACCCAUUGUGCCAGGCCAGGGGUUAAACCUGAAUCCCAGUGCUCCAGAGAUGUCACCAAUCCUGCUGUGCCAUAGUGGGAACUCCCAGUUUUGUUUUGUUUUUUUUAAAUAAAGCCUCAAAUUGGAAAGGAAUAGUAAAAUUGUUGUUUGAGGGUGCUAUGAUCUUAUAGAGAGAAAAUCCUAAAGAUUCAACCAAAAAGUUGUUGGAAUUAAUCAACACAUUCAAUAAAGUUUCAGGAUAAAAAAAAUCAACACACAGAAGUCAGUUGCAUUUCUAUACAUUAACAAUGAAACAUCUGCAAAAAAAAAGAAAGAAUAAUAUCCUAUUCACAAUAGCAUCAAAAACAAUAAAAUACUUGAGAAUAAAUUUAACCAAGGAGUUGAAAGAUCUGAAAACCAGAAGACUUUGGGAGUUCUCUUGUGGUGUAGCAGCUUGAGGAUCCAGCACUGUCACUGCAGCAACAUGGGUUGCUGCUGUGGUGUGGGUUCCAUCCAGGGUCCAGGAACUCCCACAUGUUAUGGAUGAGGCCAACUAAAAAACUUGGUGAAACAAACUGAAGAUACAAACAAAUGGAAAGAUAUCCUGUGUUUACAAAUCAGAAGUAUUAAUAUUGUUAAAUUUCCAUCCUAUCUAAAGUCAUCUAUAGAUUGAUGCAAUGCAUAUCAAAAUUUCAAUGGCAUUUUUCAGAGAAAUAGAACAAACAGUAUUAAAAUUUGUACUGAACCACUAAAGACUCCCAAAUAAACACAACAAUCCUAAGAAAGAAGAACUAAGCUGGAGGCAUCACACUUCCUGAUUCCAAACUUGACUAUAAGCUAUGGUAAUUAAAUCAAUAUGACAUUAAAAACAAACAAACCCUAGAUCAAUGGAAAGCCCAGAAAUAAACAACUGAAUAUAUAGUCAAUUAAUAUUGGACAAUGCAGCCAAGAACACCCAGUGAGUAUAGUGUCUCCAAUUAAUGUGGUUGAAAAAACUGAAUAACCACAUAUGGAAAAAUGAAACUGGACACUUAUCUUACAGAACUUACAAAAGUUAACUCAAAAUGGAGUAAAGAUUUAAAUGUAUGACUGGAGACCAUAAAACUCCUAGAAGAAAACAUAGGAAAGAAGCUCCUUGACAUUGACCUUAGCAAUAAAUUUUUGGAUACGACACCAAAAGCAAAGCAACAAAAACAAAAAUCAGUAAGUGGGAUUAUAUCAAACUACUAAGUUUCUGCACAGCAAAAGAAACAAUCGACAAGAUGAGAAGGCAACCUACAGAAUGGGAGGAGUGUGCAAAUCAUACAUUGGAUGAGGGAUUAAUAUCCGAAAUAUGUAAAGACCUUACACAACUCAAAAACAACAGCAACAACAACUUAUCUGAUUCAAUAAUGGGCAGAGGAGCUGAUUAAACAUUUUUCCAGGGAAGACAUCUAAAUGUCCACACUGUAAAUGAAAAGGUACUCAACAUCGCUAAUUAUCAGGGAAAUGAAAAUCAAAACCACAAUGAGACAUACAUUCCCACCUCUUAGAAUGUCUACCACCAAGAAGACAAGAGCUAACAAGUAUUGAAAAGAUGUGGAGAAAGGGAACCCUUGUGUAUUGUUGGUGGGAAUGUAAUUUGGUGCAGCCACUACGGAAAGAGCAUGGAGGUUCCUCAAAAAAUUGGAAACAGAACCACCACAUAAUCCAGCAAGCACACUUCUGGCUAUUUAAUAAACCCAAAGGAAAUAACGAUAAUAAUUUUUAAGCCAAAGUUCACUCAAGCAUUAUUCAUUAUAUGGAAACAACCUAAGUGUCUGUCAAUGGAUCAACUGAUAAAGAAAUGUGAUAUAUAUGUGAUAUGUAUAUAUGAUAUAUAUGAUAUAAUCCAUCUUCGGUGGAAUACUAAGCCAUAAAAAGAAUGAAAUUAGGCCCAUCAUGGCUCAGCAGUUAAUGAACCCAACUAGCAUCCAUGAGGACGCAAGUUCAAUCCCUGGCCUUACUCAGUGGUUAAGGCUCCAGUGUUGCCAUGAGCUGUGUGUAGGUCGCAGAUGUGUCUCAGAUCCUGUGUUGCUGUGGCUGUGGCACCGGCUGGUGAAUUAGCUCCAAUGAGACCCCUAGCCUGGGAACCACGUGGGUUGGCCCUAAAAAGACAAAAGACAAAAAAAGACAAAAAAAAAAAAAAAA
ensembl:lncRNA